UAUAUUUGCAGCUUCAGUGAAAAAUUUCGCUGAUAUACAUAAUAAUCAUUUAAAUAAUAUUGGCAUG
rnacentral:ncRNA from 1 species